rnacentral:rRNA from 1 species
UGAUACAGUGUGAAAAACUCCGGNUGGUAUGAGAUGGACCCGCGUCUGAUUAGCUAGUUGGUGGGGUAACGGCCUACCAAGGCAACGAUCAGUAGCCGACCUGAGAGGGUGACCGGCCACAUUGGGACUGAGACACGGCCCAAACUCCUACGGGAGGCAGCAGUGGGGAAUAUUGCACAAUGGGCGAAAGCCUGAUGCAGCGACGCCGCGUGAACGAUGAAGUAUUUCGGUAUGUAAAGUUCUAUCAGCAGGGAAGAAAAAAUGACGGUACCUGACUAAGAAGCACCGGCUAAAUACGUGCCAGCAGCCGCGGUAAUACGUAUGGUGCAAGCGUUAUCCGGAUUUACUGGGUGUAAAGGGAGCGUAGGCGGUUUUAUAAGUCUGAUGUGAAAGCCCGGGGCUCAACCCCGGGACUGCAUUGGAAACUGUAGAACUAGAGUGUCGGAGGGGUAAG